AUUGAACGCUGGCGGCAGGCCUAACACAUGCAAGUCGAGCGGAUGAAGGGAGCUUGCUCCUGGAUUCAGCGGCGGACGGGUGAGUAAUGCCUAGGAAUCUGCCUGGUAGUGGGGGAUAACGUCCGGAAACGGGCGCUAAUACCGCAUACGUCCUGAGGGAGAAAGUGGGGGAUCUUCGGACCUCACGCUAUCAGAUGAGCCUAGGUCGGAUUAGCUAGUUGGUGGGGUAAAGGCCUACCAAGGCGACGAUCCGUAACUGGUCUGAGAGGAUGAUCAGUCACACUGGAACUGGAACACGGUCCAGACUCCUACGGGAGGCAGCAGUGGGGAAUAUUGGACAAUGGGCGAAAGCCUGAUCCAGCCAUGCCGAGUGUGUGAAGAAGGUCUUCGGAUUGUAAAGCACUUUAAGUUGGGAGGAAGGGCAGUAAGUUAAUACCUUGCUGUUUUGACGUUACCAACAGAAUAAGCACCGGCUAACUUCGUG
rnacentral:rRNA from 1 species